UCCGGCUUGUCACCGGCAGUUCCUCCAGAGUGCCCGGCCCAACCCGAUGGCAACUGGAGGCAGGGGUUGCGCUCGUUGUGGGACUUAACCCAACAUCUCACGACACGAGCUGACGACAGCCAUGCAGCACCUGUGACGGCCCGGCCGAACCGAUGGACCCGCUCUCACGGGCCCGUAACCGCCAUGUCAAGGGCUGGUAAGGUUCUGCGCGUUGCCUCGAAUUAAGCAACAUGCUCCGCCGCUUGUGCGGGCCCCCGUCAAUUCCUUUGAGUUUCAUUCUUGCGAACGUACUCCCCAGGUGGCAUGCUUACUGCGUUAACUGCGUCACUGCCCCCUAAGGGACAACAACUAGCAUGCAUCGUUUACAGCGUGGACUAC
rnacentral:misc_RNA from 1 species